rnacentral:snRNA from 1 species
AGCUUUGUGCAGUGGCAGUAUCGUAACCAAUGAGGUUUAUCUGAGACACGAUUAUUGCUAAUUGAAAACUUAAUUUUCAGAAUCUCUAAGAUGCCGAUAGGU